GGAGCCUGCAGCAGACGGAUGGUCAGAUCUCUGGUCUUGCUAUCGAUGUUCACCUGGAUGGAGACAGAAGUAAGUCCACGAGCGGCCAGGAUGAGCAGAAAAGCAGGCCCGUCCGUACCUCCCGAGGCGAACCGGGCCGGAUGCCAGAUAGAACUGAAGAUUCUCCUCACUGAACUCGGCACGUAGGAAUGCCCCGAACACCGAAAGGCCGGCUGAGAGAAGGAGGAAGGUGAGACUCUCUCAGGUCCUCCACACUGACACUGACCUCCUUAACAAGUUCUCUCUUGGUACUUGGCUCCUGAACGAUCGGACGCUGCUCUCCAUCCAUCUGGACUUGAGCAACAGCAAGUGAGUAUGUGGCAGAUUCUCGGCCCUU